UACGAAGGGGGCUAGCGUUGCUCGGAUUGACUGGGCGUAAAGGGCGCGUAGGCGGUUCGUACAGUCAGACGUGAAAUUCCUGGGCUCAACCUGGGGGCUGCGUUUGAUACGUGCGGACUUGAGUGCGGAAGAGGGUCGUGGAAUUCCCAGUGUAGAGGUGAAAUUCGUAGAUAUUGGGAAGAACACCGGUGGCGAAGGCGGCGACCUGGCCCGAUACUGACGCUGAGGCGCGAAAGCGUGGGGAGCAAACAGG
rnacentral:rRNA from 1 species